UGUGAGCUCGAUGAGUAGGGCGGGACACGUGGUAUCCUGUCUGAAUAUGGGGGGACCAUCCUCCAAGGCUAAAUACUCCUGACUGACCGAUAGUGAACCAGUACCGUGAGGGAAAGGCGAAAAGAACCCCGGCGAGGGGAGUGAAAAAGAACCUGAAACCGUGUACGUACAAGCAGUGGGAGCACGCUUAGGCGUGUGACUGCGUACCUUUUGUAUAAUGGGUCAGCGACUUAUAUUCUGUAGCAAGGUUAACCGAAUAGGGGAGCCGAAGGGAAACCGAGUCUUAACUGGGCGUUAAGUUGCAGGGUAUAGACCCGAAACCCGGUGAUCUAGCCAUGGGCAGGUUGAAGGUUGGGUAACACUAACUGGAGGACCGAACCGACUAAUGUUGAAAAAUUAGCGGAUGACUUGUGGCUGGGGGUGAAAGGCCAAUCAAACCGGGAGAUAGCUGGUUCUCCCCGAAAGCUAUUUAGGUAGCGCCUCGUGAAUUCAUCUCCGGGGGUAGAGCACUGUUUCGGCAAGGGGGUCAUCCCGACUUACCAACCCGAUGCAAACUGCGAAUACCGGAGAAUGUUAUCACGGGAGACACACGGCGGGUGCUAACGUCCGUCGUGAAGAGGGAAACAACCCAGACCGCCAGCUAAGGUCCCAAAGUCAUGGUUAAGUGGGAAACGAUGUGGGAAGGCCCAGACAGCCAGGAUGUUGGCUUAGAAGCAGCCAUCAUUUAAAGAAAGCGUAAUAGCUCACUGGUCGAGUCGGCCUGCGCGGAAGAUGUAACGGGGCUAAACCAUGCACCGAAGCUGCGGCAGCGACGCUUAUGCGUUGUUGGGUAGGGGAGCGUUCUGUAAGCCUGUGAAGGUGUGCUGUGAGGCAUGCUGGAGGUAUCAGAAGUGCGAAUGCUGACAUAAGUAACGAUAAAGCGGGUGAAAAGCCCGCUCGCCGGAAGACCAAGGGUUCCUGUCCAACGUUAAUCGGGGCAGGGUGAGUCGACCCCUAAGGCGAGGCCGAAAGGCGUAGUCGAUGGGAAACAGGUUAAUAUUCCUGUACUUGGUGUUACUGCGAAGGGGGGACGGAGAAGGCUAUGUUGGCCGGGCGACGGUUGUCCCGGUUUAAGCGUGUAGGCUGGUUUUCCAGGCAAAUCCGGAAAAUCAAGGCUGAGGCGUGAUGACGAGGCACUACGGUGCUGAAGCAACAAAUGCCCUGCUUCCAGGAAAAGCCUCUAAGCAUCAGGUAACAUCAAAUCGUACCCCAAACCGACACAGGUGGUCAGGUAGAGAAUACCAAGGCGCUUGAGAGAACUCGGGUGAAGGAACUAGGCAAAAUGGUGCCGUAACUUCGGGAGAAGGCACGCUGAUAUGUAGGUGAAGUCCCUUGCGGAUGGAGCUGAAAUCAGUCGAAGAUACCAGCUGGCUGCAACUGUUUAUUAAAAACACAGCACUGUGCAAACACGAAAGUGGACGUAUACGGUGUGACGCCUGCCCGGUGCCGGAAGGUUAAUUGAUGGGGUCAGCGCAAGCGAAGCUCUUGAUCGAAGCCCCGGUAAACGGCGGCCGUAACUAUAACGGUCCUAAGGUAGCGAAAUUCCUUGUCGGGUAAGUUCCGACCUGCACGAAUGGCGUAAUGAUGGCCAGGCUGUCUCCACCCGAGACUCAGUGAAAUUGAACUCGCUGUGAAGAUGCAGUGUACCCGCGGCAAGACGGAAAGACCCCGUGAACCUUUACUAUAGCUUGACACUGAACAUUGAGCCUUGAUGUGUAGGAUAGGUGGGAGGCUUUGAAGUGUGGACGCCAGUCUGCAUGGAGCCGACCUUGAAAUACCACCCUUUAAUGUUUGAUGUUCUAACGUGGACCCGUGAUCCGGGUUGCGGACAGUGUCUGGUGGGUAGUUUGACUGGGGCGGUCUCCUCCUAAAGAGUAACGGAGGAGCACGAAGGUUGGCUAAUCCUGGUCGGACAUCAGGAGGUUAGUGCAAUGGCAUAAGCCAGCUUGACUGCGAGCGUGACGGCGCGAGCAGGUGCGAAAGCAGGUCAUAGUGAUCCGGUGGUUCUGAAUGGAAGGGCCAUCGCUCAACGGAUAAAAGGUACUCCGGGGAUAACAGGCUGAUACCGCCCAAGAGUUCAUAUCGACGGCGGUGUUUGGCACCUCGAUGUCGGCUCAUCACAUCCUGGGGCUGAAGUAGGUCCCAAGGGUAUGGCUGUUCGCCAUUUAAAGUGGUACGCGAGCUGGGUUUAGAACGUCGUGAGACAGUUCGGUCCCUAUCUGCCGUGGGCGCUGGAGAACUGAGGGGGGCUGCUCCUAGUACGAGAGGACCGGAGUGGACGCAUCACUGGUGUUCGGGUUGUCAUGCCAAUGGCACUGCCCGGUAGCUAAAUGCGGAAGAGAUAAGUGCUGAAAGCAUCUAAGCACGAAACUUGCCCCGAGAUGAGUUCUCCCUGACUCCUUGAGAGUCCUGAAGGAACGUUGAAGACGACGACGUUGAUAGGCCGGGUGUGUAAGCGCAGCGAUGCGUUGAGCUAACCGGUACUAAUGAACCGUGAGGCUUAACCUU
rnacentral:rRNA from 1 species